rnacentral:lncRNA from 1 species
UCUUCACCCAAAAAUCAACGUGUUACCUUGUGAUUAUUUUUGGCUCCACAGAGUUGUUUAAGUUAGAAGAAGAUGAAGAUAUUCAGUCAAUAUACAGUUUAGAUGCUUUAAGUGAUAAUGAGAGUAUUUAUAGUAUAGAGAAUAUUAACAUAAUAGAUUUAAAUUCGGAAGAUUCAAGUAGCACAAAUAGUGAUUUAGAAGAGUUUAUGUGUGCAUUCAUAGAAGAACAACAUGAAGAAGAGUAUAAAUACAUUAAUUUAGGUUGGCCAAAAAACUGUCAUAAGUGUAGUAAGUUAGUUGCAAAUAAAUACUAUAAUACAAAUUCAAUAUUGUGCAAAAAGUGUUAUAAUAAUAAGUUAUUAGAAAUUAAUUUAGCAGAAUCACAAGAAAAUACUGAAAUAUUAGGAAAUAUUGUUUAUAGUAUAGAAAGCCAAAAAUGACACACCCCGACCUAAAUCGCGGCAUUUUGGCUGUCACAUGGGAGUGACGUAACCAUGUGCAUAGUGCAGAA